GAUGAACGCUGGCGGUAUGCUUAACACAUGCAAGUCGAACGGACUCUUCGGAGUUAGUGGCGGGCGGGUGAGUAACGCGUGAGAAUCUGGCUUUGGGUUCGGGACAACCACUGGAAACGGUGGCUAAUACCGGAUGUGCCGAGAGGUAAAAGAGAAAUUGCCUGAAGAUGAGCUCGCGUCUGAUUAGCUAGUUGGUGAGGUAAAGGCUCACCAAGGCAGCGAUCAGUAGCUGGUCUGAGAGGAUGACCAGCCACACUGGGACUGAGACACGGCCCAGACUCCUACGGGAGGCGGCAGUGGGGAAUUUUCCGCAAUGGGCGAAAGCCUGACGGAGCAAUACCGCGUGAGGGAAGAAGGCUCUUGGGUUGUAAACCUCUUUUCUUAGGGAAGAACAAAAUGACGGUACCUAAGGAAUCAGCAUCGGCUAACUCCGUG
rnacentral:rRNA from 1 species